rnacentral:tRNA from 1 species
GCCGGGGUGGUGGAAUUGGUAUACACGCAGGGUUUAGGACCCUGUGCCCGUAAGGGCUUGAGGGUUCGAGUCCCUCCUCCGGCACCA